GUGCUCAGUUUGGUAGCACAUAAACUAAAAAUUGGAAUGAUACAGAGAAGAUUAAGAUGACCCCUGCACAAAGAUGACAUACAAAUCUGUGAAGUGUUUCAUAUUUUU
rnacentral:snRNA from 1 species